UCACACUAUAUUCUAAAGAGAAAAAUAUGUAUGAUGUAAUUCAGUUUUUAUUUUUUUAAAUAUAUGGUAUAUUAUAUACUCUAGGCAUUGAUAAAAUACCAAAAGGGAUAGAUACCCAAUGCUGACAGUGGUUAUCUCUUAGGCUGGGGAUUAUAGUGAUUAUAUUUUCUUUUGACUUCUCUGCAGCUUAAAAUAACUUCUAAAAAAAAGUCCAUGCUUUAUGUUUGUGAUAUUGAAAAACAGAAGCUAUUGCUUUAUAAAUUGCUUUAGAGCAAUUGAAAAAUAAAUGAAUAUGGACCCUUGCUGUGAGAAUUUCCAGAUAUCUGACAUUGAGUGACAUUUAAAAAACUGUUUAAUUCCUUCUUGUUUUUGCUUUUAGAGAGAGAUGGCACACACAAGUGGGUGGGGGGCCUUCAUUCCUCUGACUAAAGUGACGACCUGAAGAAGAUACUUGUGCCCGUUGUCACAAAGCUGAUGUGCACCUGGCAGGAGGUAGAAGGCCUGGAAGCCUGAGGAGGAAUGCAGCUAGACCUGGUAGAGCUGUGGGUCUGGCUGCUGCCUCACACCAAGGUGGGGGGCCGAUCCACAGUCUCAGUCAUGGUCUGCAACCACACCGGACUCUCUACAAACCAGGAAGCCAGGAGCACGCACUCAUUACACCACAGGACCUGGGGAGGGUGAAGUCAUGUGUAAGUGUUGCUGCUUGUGGAGUGCUCAUGGAGCCCAGGAGAGCUGCUCUGCUGGAGGCACCACCCAAAGCGGGGAAAAACAACAACAACAACAGAAAUGGCUCUCACUUCCAUCUUCCAAACUCCUUCCAUCCUCUUCUCUCAUUGACAGAAACUACCGGGAAGCCAGUUGGGAAGAGAGCUUAUUUUGUAGGUUUCUAGCUCUUCAUGAUCGGAGGGGAAUAAUAAGGAAAGGCAUUUAUGGAGCUGAAGGCCAAUGGACAAGUUACUGGCCCAACUGUCUGAUAUGUUACUCUGGGCAAAGGAAAAUAUACAUAAAGACUUGGAGUUGGACAGUGGGUGCAUUUCAAGACAAAGACAUCAUCUCUUCCUGGUGUUUGAAGACCUUAGGUUAUUCUCCUUGAACUACAGUGAUGACUCUCUACAAUGCCUACACCAGGAGGAUAUUAUUCUACAAAUAAGGGCCCAGCAUGACAUUUAUGAGAAAGCCAGGGUCCUUCUGCGCAAAACUGAUUGGUGCUCAGCCAAUGGGCUCUGGGGCAUUGCAAAUAAAGGUACGUUCUCCACUGGGCCUGAUCAGAAGCAGGGCAGAGUGUUGCCUCUGCCUGUGGAACUUCAGGAAAUGCUCAACUCCUGGCCUAGCCGACUACAUCUGUGGCUAGCAAAGAGAAACUGGGCUUUGAAGAUGAAACACCUUGUUCCUCAAUUCCCUUCCAUCUUGGCCAUCUAUUGCUUCUGCAUGCUACAGAUUCCCUCUUCAGUAGGAUUUCCUCGACCUCUAGCUGAUCCCCCAGAUGGCUUGGAUGUCAUGCAGCUUGAGCGUCUGGCAUAUUGGGCAACUCUUUCUAGGCAACUUAAGGAUAAUCAAGACAUAUACAAAAGGUUUUUAUUUCACUACUCCAGAACUCAGAAGCCGACACAGCCAGUUAAAAGUGGGAUUCCUCCCGUGCACCCGUUAAUGCGCCUGGCCGCGCAGCUCGAAGACCGGAGGGUGAAGAGAUUUCCGCAACAGCGCGUAGGAUUCGGGGACUGCCACAGUGGAUUUCACCAAGAAGGUUUUCCUGAGCUUGUCCUGAGGCAGAGAGGACUCCUGGAGCAAUGCUUCUUGCUGUUUAUAUUUCAUCUCCAGCCUUGCAGAUGAGUCACCUGGGCCCAUCUGUUCCUGAGGAUUUGCUUGAUGUGGCUCAGGGGCCCACAUGGCAGUUGUACAAACUUGGGGAGAGGUACUGCGAGUGCAUAAGCCCCGUAUACCAGCGCUUCUCCAAGUUGACCAUGAGUCAUCCAUACCUUGGGAUCUUGUUAAAAUUCUGACUGCUAGGGCAUCAGUAGGGACCUGAGAAUUUGCAUUUCUAACUAAGUCUCAGGUGUCAUUGACGCUUUUGGUCUGGGGACCACACUUUGAAAACUGCGGUCAUAGACAUCGUCAGAACUUUGGCACAAACUGGUUGCAUAAUGGUUUGUGUUUUUAUGUUGCAGGAUCACACUGCCACCCGGGGACGACCAUUUUUCCUUUUCAGGCCAAGGAACGGAAGAAACACGGACGAUAACACCCAGUAGGACAGUCCAAG